rnacentral:piRNA from 1 species
UGAUAAAGGCUGUGUUGCACACGGUGGAU